UGCUGACAUAAGUAACGAUAAAGCGGGUGAAAAGCCCGCUCGCCGGAAGACCAAGGGUUCCUGUCCAACGUUAAUCGGGGCAGGGUGAGUCGACCCCUAAGGCGAGGCCGAAAGGCGUAGUCGAUGGGAAACAGGUUAAUAUUCCUGUACUUGGUGUUACUGCGAAGGGGGGACGGAGAAGGCUAUGUUGGCCGGGCGACGGUUGUCCCGGUUUAAGCGUGUAGGCUGGUUUUCCAGGCAAAUCCGGAAAAUCAAGGCUGAGGCGUGAUGACGAGGCACUACGGUGCUGAAGCAACAAAUGCCCUGCUUCCAGGAAAAGCCUCUAAGCAUCAGGUAACAUCAAAUCGUACCCCAAACCGACACAGGUGGUCAGGUAGAGAAUACCAAGGCGCUUGAGAGAACUCGGGUGAAGGAACUAGGCAAAAUGGUGCCGUAACU
rnacentral:rRNA from 1 species